rnacentral:rRNA from 1 species
CAAGCCGGAGGAAGGUGGGGAUGACGUCAAGUCCCCAUGGCCCUUAUAGGUGGGGCUACACACGUCAUACAAUGGCUGGUACAAAGGGUUGCCAACCCGCGAGGGGGAGCUAAUCCCAUAAAGCCAGUCGUAGUCCGGAUCGUAGUCUGCAACUCGACUACGUGAAGUCGGAAUCGCUAGUAAUCGUGGAUCAGAAUGUCACGGUGAAUACGUUCCCGGGUCUU